UCGGGAAUUUUGGGCAAUGGGCGAAAGCCUGACCCAGCAACGCCGCGUGAAGGAUGAAGUCUCUCGGGAUGUAAACUUCGUAAGAAUAGGAAGAAUAAAUGACGGUACUAUUUAUAAGGUCCGGCUAACUACGUGCCAGCAGCCGCGGUAAUACGUAGGGACCAAGCGUUGUUCGGAUUUACUGGGCGUAAAGGGCGCGUAGGCGGCAAUUCAAGUCAUCUGUGAAAUCUCCGGGCUUAACUCGGAACGGUCAGAUGAUACUGCUUUGCUAGAGUGCAGAAGGGGCAAUCGGAAUUCUUGGUGUAGCGGUGAAAUGCGUAGAUAUCAAGAGGAACACCUGAGGUGAAGACGGGUUGCUGGGCUGACACUGACGCUGAGGCGCGAAAGCCAGGGGAGCAAACGGGAUUAGAUACCCAGGUAGUCCCUGAGCGGGCUGGCAAGGCGCAU
rnacentral:rRNA from 1 species